GACGAACGCUGGCGGCGUGCCUAACACAUGCAAGUCGAACGGGACCAGGGGCAACUCUGGUUCAGUGGCGGACGGGUGCGUAACACGUGAGGAACAUGACCUUCGGCGGGGGAGUAGCCGGCCCAACGGCCGGGUAAGUACCGCGUACGACCACAUGGGGACGAUCCCUGAGUGGUGAAAGCAGCAAUGCGCCGAUGGAGUGCCUCGCGGCCUAUCAGCUAGUUGGUGAGGUAACGGCUCACCAAGGCGACGACGGGUAGCUGGUCUGAGAGGAUGGCCAGCCACAUUGGGACUGAGACACGGCCCAGACUCCUACGGGAGGCAGCAGUGGGGAAUAUUGCGCAAUGGACGAAAGUCUGACGCAGCGACGCCGCGUGUGGGAUGACGGUC
rnacentral:rRNA from 1 species